UACGGAGGGUGCAAGCGUUAUCCGGAUUUACUGGGUUUAAAGGGUGUGUAGGCGGACUUUUAAGUCAGCGGUGAAAUCUCCGGGCUCAACCCGGAAACUGCCAUUGAUACUAUUGGUCUUGAAUAUUGUGGAGGUGGGCGGAACGGGUCAUGUAGCGGUGAAAUGCUUAGAGAUGACCCGGAACACCGAUUGCGAAGGCAGCCCACUACGCAA
rnacentral:rRNA from 1 species